CAGUAGCCGCGGGAAAACGUAGGGUGCGAGCGUUAAUCGGAAUUACUGGGCGUAAAGCGUGCGCAGGCGGUUUGUUAAGACAGAUGUGAAAUCCCCGGGCUUAACCUGGGAACUGCAUUUGUGACUGGCCGGCUAGAGUAUGGCAGAGGGAGGUGGAAUUCCACGUGUAGCAGUGAAAUGCGUAGAUAUUCGGAAGAACACCAGUGGCGAAGGCGGCUUACUGGCUUAUACUGGACGCUGAGGUGCGAAAGCGUGGGGAGCAAACAGGAUUAGAUACCCCCGUAGUCCCUGUCUCUUAUAC
rnacentral:rRNA from 1 species